AGAGUUUGAUCCUGGCUCAGGACGAACGCUGGCGGCGUGCCUAAUACAUGCAAGUCGAGCGGAUCUCAAGGGGCUUGCCCCUUGAGAUUAGCGGCGGACGGGUGAGUAACACGUGGGCAACCUGCCUGUAAGACUGGGAUAACUUCGGGAAACCGAGGCUAAUACCGGAUAAUUCCUUUCCUCACAUGAGGGAAGGCUGA
rnacentral:rRNA from 1 species